rnacentral:rRNA from 1 species
AGAGUUUGAUCCUGGCUCAGGACGAACGCUGGCGGUGUGCCUAAGAUAUGCAAGUCGAACGAUCCUUGCUGACUGAUUCCUUCGGGAUGAAGAAGGCGCUUGGGAUAGUGGCAAACGGGUGAGUAACACGUAGGAAUUUACCUCUGGGUGGGGAAUAACUCCGCGAAAGCGGAGCUAAUACCGCAUAGUCUCGCAAGAGUAAAGCUUUUGCGCCGAGAGAUAAGCCUGCGUCCUAUCAGCUAGUUGGUGGGGUAAAGGCCUACCAAGGCGACGAUCAGUAGUUGGUCUGAGAGGACGACCAGCCACACUGGGACUGAGACACGGCCCAGACUCCUACGGGAGGCAGCAGUGGGGAAUUUUGGACAAUGGGCGCAAGCCUGAUCCAGCAAUGCCGCGUGAGUGAAGAAGGCCUUCGGGUUGUAAAGCUCUUUCAGUCGAGAAGAAAAAGCUGCAGUGAAUAACUGUAGUUCAUGACG